rnacentral:lncRNA from 1 species
GCCAUAUUCAAGAUUGAGAUGAGAAAGAAGGAUCCUCGGGUAGAGAUGAGAAAUUGAAAAGGAUGACUUUGGGUGCUGGGAGUCAGACUUACAAAAGGUUCAUGAUCGAAAGAUUUUCUAGCGAGAAUCUCUCGAUGCGUGAGUCAGUCAGUUGAAAAUUAGAGAACAGUAAGAUAGAUUAGUGGAUCAUCCUGAGAUCUUUUGAGAGAUUCCUUUUUUCUUUCUAUUUAUAGAGAAAAAGAAAGGGUCGU